rnacentral:rRNA from 1 species
GAUGGCGACCGGCGCACGGGUGAGUAACACGUAUCCAACCUGCCGUCUACUCUUGGACAGCCUUCUGAAAGGAAGAUUAAUACAAGAUGGCAUCAUGAGUCCGCAUGUUCACAUGAUUAAAGGUAUUCCGGUAGACGAUGGGGAUGCGUUCCAUUAGAUAGUAGGCGGGGUAACGGCCCACCUAGUCUUCGAUGGAUAGGGGUUCUGAGAGGAAGGUCCCCCACAUUGGAACUGAGACACGGUCCAAACUCCUACGGGAGGCAGCAGUGAGGAAUACUGGUCAAUGGGCGCAGGCCUGAACCAGCCAAGUAGCGUGAAGGAUGACUGCCCUAUGGGUUGUAAACUUCUUUUAUAAAGGAAUAAAGUCGGGUAUGUAUACCCGUUUGCAUGUACUUUAUG